GACGAACGCUGGCGGCGUGCCUAAUACAUGCAAGUUGAGCGCUGAAGGUUGGUACUUGUACCAACUGGAUGAGCAGCGAACGGGUGAGUAACGCGUGGGGAAUCUGCCUUUGAGCGGGGGACAACAUUUGGAAACGAAUGCUAAUACCGCAUAAAAACUUUAAACACAAGUUUUAAGUUUGAAAGAUGCAAUUGCAUCACUCAAAGAUGAUCCCGCGUUGUAUUAGCUAGUUGGUGAGGUAAAGGCUCACCAAGGCGAUGAUACAUAGCUGACCUGAGAGGGUGAUCGGCCACAUUGGGACUGAGACACGGCCCAAACUCCUACGGGAGGCAGCAGUAGGGAAUCUUCGGCAAUGGACGAAAGUCUGACCGAGCAACGCCGCGUGAGUGAAGAAGGGUGUCGGAUCGUAAAACUCUGUUGGUAGAGAAGAACGUUGGUGAGAGUGGAAAGCUCAUCAAGUGACGGUAACUACCCAGAAAGGGACGGCUAACUACGUG
rnacentral:rRNA from 1 species